ACCUUCGGGCCUCUUGCCAUCGGAUGUGCCCAGAUGGGAUUAGCUAGUAGGUGGGGUAAAGGCUCACCUAGGCGACGAUCCCUAGCUGGUCUGAGAGGAUGACCAGCCACACUGGAACUGAGACACGGUCCAGACUCCUACGGGAGGCAGCAGUGGGGAAUAUUGCACAAUGGGCGCAAGCCUGAUGCAGCCAUGCCGCGUGUAUGAAGAAGGCCUUCGGGUUGUAAAGUACUUUCAGCGGGGAGGAAGGGAGUAAAGUUAAUACCUUUGCUCAUUGACGUUACCCGCAGAAGAAGCACCGGCUAACUCCGUGCCAGCAGCCGCGGUAAUACGGAGGGUGCAAGCGUUAAUCGGAAUUACUGGGCGUAAAGCGCACGCAGGCGGUUUGUUAAGUCAGAUGUGAAAUCCCCGGGCUCAACCUGGGAACUGCAUCUGAUACUGGCAAGCUUGAGUCUCGUAGAGGGGGGUAGAAUUCCAGGUGUAGCGGUGAAAUGCGUAGAGAUCUGGAGGAAUACCGGUGGCGAAGGCGGCCCCCUGGACGAAGACUGACGCUCAGGUGCGAAAG
rnacentral:rRNA from 1 species